UACCAGCACCCCGAGUGGUCGGGACGAUUAUUGGGCCUAAAGCAUCCGUAGCCGGUUUUACAAGUCCUCCGUUAAAUCCAGCUGCUUAACAGAUGGGCUGCGGAGGAUACUAUAAGACUAGGAGGCAGGAGAGGCAAGCGGUACUCAGUGGGUAGGGGUAAAAUCCGUUGAUCCAUUGAAGACCACCAGUGGCGAAGGCGGCUUGCCAGAAUGCGCUCGACGGUGAGGGAUGAAAGCUGGGGGGGCAAACCGG
rnacentral:rRNA from 1 species